UUAGGGUUUGACUCCGGAGAGGCAGCCUGAGAGACGGCUACCACUUCUAAGGAACGCAGCAGGCGCGCAAAUUACACAAUGACAGUAAACUGUUGAUGUAGUGACAAGAGGUAACGGGGCGGUCCUCUAUGAGGCCCGUCAUUGUAUUGAGUAAAACUCAGAAUAUUUAACGAAACCAAUUGGAGGGCAAGUCUGGUGCCAGCAGCCGCGGUAAUUCCAGCUCCAAAAGCAUAUAUUAAAGUUGUUGCGGUUAAAAAGCUCGUAGUUGGAUCCAUGACCUCGGAGGGCGGUCCCCCACUGGGUGCGUACUGCUGCUCCGAGUCCUAUCUGUCAGUUUGUCUGUGUUGCCUUUAAUCGGGUGGCACAGGUGACUGACGUGUUUACUUUGAAAAAAUUAGAGUGUUUAAAGCAGGCGUUGAAUGCCUGAAUAGUGGUGCAUGGAAUAAUGGAAUAGGAUCUCGGUUCUAUUUUGUUGGUUCAAGAGCAUGAGAAAAUGAUUAAGAGGGACAGACGGGGGCAUUUGUAUUGCUGCGUUAGAGGUGAAAUUCUUGGAUCGUAGCAAGACAAACUACUGCGAAGGCAUUUGCCAAGAAUGUUUUCAUUAAUCAAGAACGAAAGUUAGAGGUUCGAAGGCGAUCAGAUACCGCCCUAGUUCUAACCGUAAACCAUGUCGACUAGCUAUCUGUCAGCGUUAAUAAUGACCUGACAGGCAGCUUACCGGAAACGAAAGUUUCUCGAUUCCGGGGGUAGUAUGGUUGCAAAGCUGAAACUUAAAGGAAUUGACGGAAGGGCACCACCAGGAGUGGAGCCUGCGGCUUAAUUUGACCCAACACGGGAAAACUCACCCGGCCCGGACACCGUAAGGAUUGACAGAUUAAUAGCUCUUUCUCGAUUUGGUGAUUGGUGGUGCAUGGCCGUUCUUAGUUGGUGGAGCGAUUUGUCUGGUUAAUUCCGAUAACGAACGAGAUUCUAACUUACUAACUAGUUCCACGAUCCUUGUGGUCCUAAAUACUUCUUAGAGGGAAAACCGGCAUUUAGUCGAACGAGAUUGAGCAAUAACAGGUCUGUGAUGCCCUUAGAUGUCCGGGGCUGCACGCGUGCUACACUGAAGGAAUCAGCGUGUUUUUCCCUUGCCUGUAAUGGCUGGGUAACCGACUGAAUCUCCUUCGUGUUAGGGAUAGAUCAUUGAAACUAGUGAUCUUCAACUUGGAAUUCCUGGUACGUUUGAGUCAUAAGCUCAAGCAGAUUACGUCCCUGCCCUUUGUACACACCGCCCGUCGCUACUACCGACUGGCAAUAUCUUUGAGACACUUGGAGCGGCCGUGAGCUACCCUAACCGGUAACUCACGGCUGCGAAAAGGUUCGAAAAGGUUUUGCUGGAGGAAGUAAAAGUCGUAACAAGGUU
rnacentral:rRNA from 1 species